rnacentral:rRNA from 1 species
UACGAAGGGGGCUAGCGUUGCUCGGAAUCACUGGGCGUAAAGGGUGCGUAGGCGGGUUUUUAAGUCAGGGGUGAAAUCCUGGAGCUCAACUCCAGAACUGCCUUUGAUACUGAAGAUCUUGAGUCCGGGAGAGGUGAGUGGAACUGCGAGUGUAGAGGUGAAAUUCGUAGAUAUUCGCAAGAACACCAGUGGCGAAGGCGGCUCACUGGCCCGGUACUGACGCUGAGGCACGAAGGCGUGGGGAGCAAACAGG